CCUACGGGUGUGCAGCAGUGAGGAAGAUUGGGCAAUGGACGAGAGGUUGAACCAGCCAAGGAGAGUGAAGGAUGACUGCCCGAUGGGUUGGAAACUUCUUGUAGAGGGGAAGAAAAGGGUCCACGGGGGGGAUUUGGGAUGUACCAGAUGAAGAAGGAACGGCGAACUCCGUGCCAGCAGCCGCGGUAAUACGGAGGAUCCGAGCGUUAGCCGGAUUUCUUGGGUUGAAAGGGAGCGUAGGGGGAUUGUUAAGUCAGUUGUGAACGGUUGCGGCUCAACCGUAAAAUUGCAGUUUAAACUGGCAGUCUUGAGUACAUUAGCGGUGGGCGGAAUUCGUGGUGUAGCGGUGCCAUGCUUCGCUAUCAC
rnacentral:rRNA from 1 species